rnacentral:rRNA from 1 species
UGGCGUAAACAAAGGGAAGCGAGACGGUGACGUUAAGCAAAUCCCAGAAAUAACGUCCCAGUUCGGAUUGUAGUCUGCAACCCGACUACAUGAAGCUGGAAUCGCUAGUAAUCGCGAAUCAGAAUGUCGCGGUGAAUACGUUCCCGGGUCUUGUACACACCGCCCGUCACACCAUGGGAGUCGGAAAUGCCCGAAGUCAGUGACCCAACCGUAAGGAGGGAGCUGCCGAAGGUGGAGCCGGUAACUUGGGUGAAGUCGUAACAAGGUAAC